rnacentral:rRNA from 1 species
UACGAAGGGGGCUAGCGUUGUUCGGAAUCACUGGGCGUAAAGGGCGCGUAGGCGGCUUGAUAAGUCGGGGGUGAAAGCCUGUGGCUCAACCACAGAAUUGCCUUCGAUACUGUCUGGCUUGAGACCGGAAGAGGUAAGUGGAACUGCGAGUGUAGAGGUGAAAUUCGUAGAUAUUCGCAAGAACACCAGUGGCGAAGGCGGCUUACUGGUCCGGUUCUGACGCUGAGGCGCGAAAGCUAGGGGAGCAAACGGG